CCUACGGGAGGCAGCAGUAGGGAAUCUUCCACAAUGGACGAAAGUCUGAUGGAGCAACGCCGCGUGAGUGAAGAAGGGUUUCGGCUCGUAAAGUUCUGUCGGUGGUGAAGAAAGAUAGAGGUAGUAACUGGGCUUUAUUUGACGGUAAUUACUUAGGAAGUACCGGCUAACUACGUGCCAGCAGCCGCGGUAAUACGUAGGUGGCAAGCGUUGUCCGGAUUUAUUGGGCGUAAAGCGCGUGCAGGCGGUUCAAUAAGUCUGAUGUGAAAGCCCUGGGCUCAACCGGGGAACUGCAUCAGAUACUGGUGGACUUGAGUGCAGAAGAGGGGAGUAGAACUCCAGGUGUAGCGGUGGAAUGCGUAGAGAUAUGGAAGAACACCAGUGGCGAAGGCGGCUCUCUGGUCGGCAACUGACGCUGAGGCGCGAAAGCAUGGGUAGCGAACAGGAUUAGAUACCCCUGUAGUC
rnacentral:rRNA from 1 species